rnacentral:rRNA from 1 species
GAUGAACGCUGGCGGCGUGCCUAAUACAUGCAAGUCGAGCGAACAGACGAGGAGCUUGCUCCUCUGACGUUAGCGGCGGACGGGUGAGUAACACGUGGAUAACCUACCUAUAAGACUGGGAUAACUUCGGGAAACCGGAGCUAAUACCGGAUAAUAUAUUGAACCGCAUGGUUCAAUAGUGAAAGACGGAUUUGCUGUCACUUAUAGAUGGAUCCGCGCCGCAUUAGCUAGUUGGUAAGGUAACGGCUUACCAAGGCAACGAUGCGUAGCCGACCUGAGAGGAUGAUCGGCCACACUGGAACUGAGACACGGUCCAGACUCCUACGGGAGGCAGCAGUAGGGAAUCUUCCGCAAUGGGCGAAAGCCUGACGGAGCAACGCCGCGUGAGUGAUGAAGGUCUUCGGAUCGUAAAACUCUGUUAGUAGGGAAGAACAAAUGUGUAAGUAACUAUGCACGUCUUGACGGUACCUAAUCAGAAAGCCACGGCUAACUACGUG